CCGGGAUAACUUCUGGAAACGGAUGCUAAAACCGGAUAGGUAGCAGACAAGCAUUUGACUGCUAUUAAAGUGGCUAAGGCCAUGAACAUGGAUGGACCUGCGGCGCAUUAGCUAGUUGGUGAGGUAACGGCCCACCAAGGCGACGAUGCAUAGCCGGCCUGAGAGGGCGGACGGCCACAUUGGGACUGAGACACGGCCCAA
rnacentral:rRNA from 1 species